UUCAACAAGUUAGAAAGUAUUUAUUAACCAACAAAUUAAAAUAAUUGAACUUAGUUUUUCUCUUUCAUUCUAAUUACCAUAUUUACAGCAAAAUAGACUCAAUUAACUCCGAGUAAGAUAGAACUUAGAGCUGAUAAGACCAGUAUUUUGCUGCGAUUUGCUGUGAAUUGUCUAUAAUUGCAUUUUAUCGACGCUCGCAAGACUAAAAAU
rnacentral:misc_RNA from 1 species